rnacentral:rRNA from 1 species
AUUGAACGCUGGCGGCAGGCCUAACACAUGCAAGUCGAACGAGGGGCGGAAGGGUGAGUAAUGUAUGGGAAACUGCCUGAUGGAGGGGGAUGACUACUGGAAACGGUAGCUAAUACCGCAUACAAUCGGAUGGGCCCAGAUUGGAUUAGCUAGUAGGUGGGGUAAAGGCUCACCUAGGCGACGAUCCCUAGCUGGCCUGAGAGGAUGACCAGCCACACUGGAACUGAGACACGGUCCAGACUCCUACGGGAGGCAGCAGUGGGGAAUAUUGCACAAUGGGCGCAAGCCUGAUGCAGCCAUGCCGCGUGUAUGAAGAAGGCCUUCGGGUUGUAAAGUACUUUCAGCGGGGAGGCGUUACCCGAAGAAGAAGCACCGGCUAACUCCGUGCCAGCAGCCGCGGUAAUUC